rnacentral:lncRNA from 1 species
GGAAGCUAGAAGGCACUUGGCUCCACGUGUGACAUGUCCAGUUAGACAUCAGCACUGUUCGACAAAAGGAGCUCCCAGCCUUUCUUCUUUACUUGAUCAAGUGAGAUGGAGCUUCUGGGGGGACCUACCUCGUAGAGCAGGGACAGUGAAGCCCUGGGAGAGAACAAAGAGCACAGAGAUGUCCCAGAAAGGGAACUGCUCACACCUGAUCUCUUCCUGGGUCAGGAGAGAACCUGCCUCCCUCGAUCAGUGAUUCCCCAAAAGUUUGUUUAAGGUUGGAAAUAGAGAUGCAAAUUGCACGAAACAAAACUAAACCUCCUGAAUUUGUUUAGUUUUCUCUUUGGAUGAGAUCCACAUCUGCUCUGACUUCAGUACCUCUGCGGGUUAAGGAGCAGGGAGAACCUACCAUUCCUCAUUCACUAAGGCUGCACCAUUCCCAAGAGCUCAAAAAUUGAAGUUUCUCAUCAUUUCCCUCUAUUGUUUGCAUUUUCCAGUCUGAUGUUCUAUUUUUUGUUUUAUUCUCUACAACGCCAAUGGGUGAAAUAAGG